rnacentral:rRNA from 1 species
ACGUUAGCGGCGGACGGGUGAGUAACACGUGGGUAACCUACCUAUAAGACUGGGAUAACUUCGGGAAACCGGAGCUAAUACCGGAUAAUAUUUCGAACCGCAUGGUUCGAUAGUGAAAGGUGGCUUUGCUAUCACUUAUAGAUGGACCCGCGCCGUAUUAGCUAGUUGGUAAGGUAACGGCUUACCAAGGCGACGAUACGUAGCCGACCUGAGAGGGUGAUCGGCCACACUGGAACUGAGACACGGUCCAGACUCCUACGGGAGGCAGCAGGA